AUAUCACUUUUCAAGUACCCAUUUGAAGGAUUCUUGAUAAACGAGUUCUCAAGAUCAGGGAAAUGCUUGGAAUACAUGUUUGGGACAUGCAUGGUUAGAGGAGAAGAUGUGCUAAAAGAAGAAGGAUAUGGAGAGGAAAGUAGGUGGAGAAACGUGGUGGUAAUGGUGUGCUUCAUCUUUGUUUACAGGUUUAUUUCUUAUGCGAUUCUAAGAUGUAGAUGCUCUGUCACAAGUCUCAAGGCUUCUCUGGUUUGAUGAAUCAGACUGUUUGCUCUCUAUAAUCUCUCCCUUUCACGAGAGUUCACAAGAUGGUUCACAUGUUUUUGGAAUUUACUUAAGAUAGCAGCCAAAAAUAAAUAUAUAUCAGAUAAUAAAAAAAAACAAAUGUAAUAUAUUUUAUGAACAUGUGAACCAUCUUGUGAACUCUCGU
rnacentral:misc_RNA from 1 species